rnacentral:lncRNA from 1 species
UCAAUUCUUCUGGAACUAAUAUAUUGGUUUCAAUUGUCUCUGUACAUAAAAUACGAGCCAUGGCUGCUGUUAGAACAAACCAGUGGAAGCUCCCCAGAGCAGUGGACCAGCUCUGCGUCUGACUGA